CCUACGGGUGGCUGCAGUGGGGAAUAUUGGACAAUGGGCGAAAGCCUGAUCCAGCCAUGCCGCGUGUGUGAAGAAGGCCUUCGGGUUGUAAAGCACUUUCAGUGGGGAAGAAAGCCUUGGGGCUAAUACCCUCGAGGAAGGACAUCACCAACAGAAGAAGCACCGGCUAACUCCGUGCCAGCAGCCGCGGUAAUACGGAGGGUGCGAGCGUUAAUCGGAAUUACUGGGCGUAAAGCGCGCGUAGGCGGUCUGAUAAGCCGGUUGUGAAAGCCCCGGGCUCAACCUGGGAACGGCAUCCGGAACUGUCAGGCUAGAGUGCAGGAGAGGAAGGUAGAAUUCCCGGUGUAGCGGUGAAAUGCGUAGAGAUCGGGAGGAAUACCAGUGGCGAAGGCGGCCUUCUGGACUGACACUGACGCUGAGGUGCGAAAGCGUGGGUAGCAAACAGGAUUAGAUACCCCGGUAGUC
rnacentral:rRNA from 1 species